rnacentral:rRNA from 1 species
UCUACGGGAGGCAGCAGUGAGGAAUAUUGGUCAAUGGACGAGAGUCUGAACCAGCCAAGUAGCGUGAAGGAUGACUGCCCUAUGGGUUGUAAACUUCUUUUAUAUGGGAAUAAAACAGGGUAUGCAUACCCUCUUGUAUGUACCAUAUGAAUAAGGAUCGGCUAACUCCGUGCCAGCAGCCGCGGUAAUACGGAGGAUCCGAGCGUUAUCCGGAUUUAUUGGGUUUAAAGGGAGCGUAGGUGGAUUGUUAAGUCAGUUGUGAAAGUUUGCGGCUCAACCGUAAAAUUGCAGUUGAAACUGGCAGUCUUGAGUACAGUAGAGGUGGGCGGAAUUCGUGGUGUAGCGGUGAAAUGCUUAGAUAUCACGAAGAACUCCGAUUGCGAAGGCAGUUCACUGGACUGCAACUGACACUGAUGCUCGAAAGUGUGGGUAUCAAACAGGAUUAGAUACCCUUGUAGUC